AAGAAGACAAACUCUGGUUUCCGUGUCUAACUUUGACUGUCCGUUUUAUAUGAAAUUUUUUAUAACUUAUAUUUUCAUUGUUGUUAGAUGAUAAAACAUGAUUAAUAUUUUAUGCGUGACUUGUCUUUUUAAUUUUUUUCAUCAAUUUUUCAAAUAAGACGGACGGUCAAACGUUGGAUACGGAAAACAAGGUUUGUCUUUUUU
rfam:Oryza glumipatula chromosome 10, whole genome shotgun sequence.